AGAGUUUGAUCCUGGCUCAGGACGAACGCUGGCGGCGUGCCUAAUACAUGCAAGUCGAGCGGACAGAUGGGAGCUUGCUCCCUGAUGUUAGCGGCGGACGGGUGAGUAACACGUGGGUAACCUGCCUGUAAGACUGGGAUAACUCCGGGAAACCGGGGCUAAUACCGGAUGGUUGUUUGAACCGCAUGGUUCAAACAUAAAAGGUGGCUUCGGCUACCACUUACAGAUGGACCCGCGGCGCAUUAGCUAGUUGGUGAGGUAACGGCUCACCAAGGCGACGAUGCGUAGCCGACCUGAGAGGGUGAUCGGCCACACUGGGACUGAGACACGGCCCAGACUCCUACGGGAGGCAGCAGUAGGGAAUCUUCCGCAAUGGACGAAAGUCUGACGGAGCAACGCCGCGUGAGUGAUGAAGGUUUUCGGAUCGUAAAGCUCUGUUGUUAGGGAAGAACAAGUGCCGUUCGAAUAGGGCGGUACCUUGACGGUACCUAACCAGAAAGCCACGGCUAACUACGUGCCAGCAGCCGCGGUAAUACGUAGGUGGCAAGCGUUGUCCGGAAUUAUUGGGCGUAAAGGGCUCGCAGGCGGUUUCUUAAGUCUGAUGUGAAAGCCCCCGGCUCAACCGGGGAGGGUCAUUGGAAACUGGGGAACUUGAGUGCAGAAGAGGAGAGUGGAAUUCCACGUGUAGCGGUGAAAUGCGUAGAGAUGUGGAGGAACACCAGUGGCGAAGGCGACUCUCUGGUCUGUAACUGACGCUGAGGAGCGAAAGCGUGGGGAGCGAACAGGAUUAGAUACCCUGGUAGUCCACGCCGUAAACGAUGAGUGCUAAGUGUUAGGGGGUUUCCGCCCCUUAGUGCUGCAGCUAACGCAUUAAGCACUCCGCCUGGGGAGUACGGUCGCAAGACUGAAACUCAAAGGAAUUGACGGGGGCCCGCACAAGCGGUGGAGCAUGUGGUUUAAUUCGAAGCAACGCGAAGAACCUUACCAGGUCUUGACAUCCUCUGACAAUCCUAGAGAUAGGACGUCCCCUUCGGGGGCAGAGUGACAGGUGGUGCAUGGUUGUCGUCAGCUCGUGUCGUGAGAUGUUGGGUUAAGUCCCGCAACGAGCGCAACCCUUGAUCUUAGUUGCCAGCAUUCAGUUGGGCACUCUAAGGUGACUGCCGGUGACAAACCGGAGGAAGGUGGGGAUGACGUCAAAUCAUCAUGCCCCUUAUGACCUGGGCUACACACGUGCUACAAUGGACAGAACAAAGGGCAGCGAAACCGCGAGGUUAAGCCAAUCCCACAAAUCUGUUCUCAGUUCGGAUCGCAGUCUGCAACUCGACUGCGUGAAGCUGGAAUCGCUAGUAAUCGCGGAUCAGCAUGCCGCGGUGAAUACGUUCCCGAGCCUUGUACACACCGCCCGUCACACCACGAGAGUUUGUAACACCCGAAGUCGGUGAGGUAACCUUUUAGGAGCCAGCCGCCGAAGGUGGGACAGAUGAUUGGGGUGAAGUCGUAACAAGGUAGCCGUAUCGGAAGGUGCGGCUG
rnacentral:rRNA from 1 species